CCACGAAAGUAUGUGCAAGCCAUUUGUUAAGAAGCUAAUGAUACUAUAUUAGGCCGGGUGCAGUGGCUCAUGCCUGUAAUCCCAGCACUUUAGGAGACUGAGGCAGAUGGAUCACUUGAGGUUGUGCUAGAUGACUGUACAGACUUGGGAUUUGAGGUUUAGAUACAGACAUACUUGGGUCCCUUCCUACUCCCUUUUAUAAUCCUUAAGUAAUUAAUAAUGGUUCCGUUCAUCACUUUAGAAAAUUUGGGGGAAUUAUUUUCAAAUAAUUUUAAUAAACUUCUAUGUUAGGAUUACAGGUGUGAGCCGCCGUGCCCAGUCUGAAGAGUCUGUAUGGAGUGAGGUGUGGAUCCCAAGGUUAGGGAACCCCAAAUUCCUGGAAGAG
rnacentral:lncRNA from 1 species